rnacentral:rRNA from 1 species
AGAGUUUGAUCAUGGCUCAGGACGAACGCUGGCGGCGUGCCUAAUACAUGCAAGUCGAGCGAGCUUGCCUAGAUGAUUUUAGUGCUUGCACUAAAUGAAACUAGAUACAAGCGAGCGGCGGACGGGUGAGUAACACGUGGGUAACCUGCCCAAGAGACUGGGAUAACACCUGGAAACAGAUGCUAAUACCGGAUAACAACACUAGACGCAUGUCUAGAGUUUGAAAGAUGGUUCUGCUAUCACUCUUGGAUGGACCUGCGGUGCAUUAGCUAGUUGGUAAGGUAACGGCUUACCAAGGCAAUGAUGCAUAGCCGAGUUGAGAGACUGAUCGGCCACAUUGGGACUGAGACACGGCCCAAACUCCUACGGGAGGCAGCAGUAGGGAAUCUUCCACAAUGGACGAAAGUCUGAUGGAGCAACGCCGCGUGAGUGAAGAAGGGUUUCGGCUCGUAAAGCUCUGUUGGUAGUGAAGAAAGAUAGAGGUAGUAACUGGCCUUUAUUUGACGGUAAUUACUUAGAAAGUCACGGCUAACUACGUGCCAGCAGCCGCGGUAAUACGUAGGUGGCAAGCGUUGCCCGGAUUUAUUGGGCGUAAAGCGAGUGCAGGCGGUUCAAUAAGUCUGAUGUGAAAGCCUUCGGCUCAACCGGAGAAUUGCAUCAGAAACUGUUGAACUUGAGUGCAGAAGAGGAGAGUGGAACUCCAUGUGUAGCGGUGGAAUGCGUAGAUAUAUGGAAGAACACCAGUGGCGAAGGCGGCUCUCUGGUCUGCAACUGACGCU